CAAAUUAGAGCUUGGAAAGUUUUUUAUUUACAUUAAAAGGAUAUUUGUUAAAUCAAUUUAAUUUGA
rnacentral:tRNA from 1 species